rfam:Manacus vitellinus contig33353, whole genome shotgun sequence.
GUACAGGCCUUUCUAAAGGCCAUCCCAUUAUUCAGCAUUUCUGUAG